rnacentral:lncRNA from 1 species
UCAGAAGAUGUCCUACAACUAAUUUAUUCUGUCAAAACUGCCGAAAUCCUCAAUGCCACCAACAACAAGUUUACCUAAAACCUGGAGGAACGCAAAACAGAAAACGUGAGUGGGCAAAAACAAAUGUUUUACAAAACCAUUUCAUUUCUCAACAGUUCUAACCCCUCUUCGUAAAACAUGUAUAACUUUUCCCAUAAAUGGAAUAUAAACAUAUGCAUAAAUGUAUAUUUAAUUAUCUCAAUUCAAAUCAUGCUUCACAUAAUCAUAAUCAUAAGUAUGCCAUGCCAAGAUGCAAAUAAAAUAAGUAAUUCAGGUGAGAAUAAUUUCAUGGAAGAUAACAUAUUAGCCGAAACCCCUGCAUAAGUCUGUACGGCUGAAUUCAUAGCUCAUUAGUCAAUCUAGUCAGAGUCACUACUAUGACCUAUAUGGCACUACACUGCACACAAGUCGGAACCACUAAAAAGGGGUAUGUACAAUAAGAUUGGGUGUAAUAUAAUUAUGCUCAAUUCUACUCUCUCAUGAUAACUGGGUGAUAAUUCGCUAGUCACCUACGAGUCAGAACCACCUAUGAUGGUCUGUACGACAAGAUUGUGCACCUAAAUUGGAUCCAAUAUGAGCAUAUGGUACGAGAGGUGACAUUAUAUACAGGCCUGUGCCAUAUCUCUGGCUAAUCACUAACACCGGGGUGCAGGUUUAUGAGCUCUAUGCUUCUCAAUUAAUCACAACUUUAAUCACAUUCACAAUUCAAAAACUCAUAUGGGCUUACCUGAGCAUCCACAACACCACAUUCAUAUAUUAUGCAUCAUAUAACAAUCCGUAUACAAAAUAUAAAUCCAUAUGCAUGGCAUUCAAGGCAUACUUUCAUUUAAACGCAUUUUCUGGGAAAAUAUCAAGUGCAUAAAUAUAUACUGAAAACCAAAAGCCCACUCACUGGUAUGUCGAAGGGUUGUAGCCCCCGAGUCGCCCUUGACUGCGCUCGUCCUCAGGAUAAGCCUCCCCUAUAUGCAAAAUAACUAUCAUACAUUAUUUAAAGUACAUAGACAAAACUAGCUAAUAACUUCUCAUACAAUGCUCAAAUGGGGUGUUUGAAUAUACCAACGUGAUCUACACAACCUCACGAACAUCCCCAUAUUUUUAAAAUAAUUUUCCGACCACCCACGAGCCGGCAAGUGCAUGGCAAUACUCGCGGCCACGCGCAGUGAACCCUAACGGAAACCCUAACUGCCGUUAAGAAUAUUCCGUUAAAUAGUAAUAGAAUUCGUUAGUUUUACCUGAUGGCGUCAGAAUAUUCCGUCAACUUUGAUGAAAUAUUCCAUCUUCUUCUCCGGUUAGACUCGCCGGUCGCCAUCGCCGUUCAUCAGAAACUGGAAAAAUCACAGAAACCUUCAUAUCCUGUCCAAAUCUCAACCAAAUUCCACGAAACUUGAACCAAUUUGAAGCUUAGGACAAGUAGAACAAAACAUUACCUUUCAUCGACGGAACUUGCCGGAAAAUCCUUCGAUAUUUCGGCUAAACCUGCAACUCGUCGUAUCUCAACUUUCCGACGUCCAAAUCACUUCAUUUUUCUUCUCCGAGCUUCGUGAAGACAAUCUAAAGCUUCCUAUGCCCUUAAAAACUCCUAAAAACCUCACAUCAAUUAGUGCAUGAACAGUGCAAGAAAUUUGGGGUUCGAGUUCCAAGAUUUUUAAAGGUUUUAAGGUUUAAAAAUGGUAUAAAUCAACUCAGAGACUUGCAAGGAGUUUGAAUCUUACCUUCUUGACGUCGAUCCGUGCUUGAAAUGGAAGCUUGGAGUUUGUCCGUACGUUUGUACGGGUUUUCUGAAAAAUCCGAGAGAAAUGAGAAAGAGGGAAGGCACGGGAGAGAGGGAGAGGUCUUUUGGGUAUGUGUGUGUGGUCCUCACACUAACACAUCAUCAAACAACACUCACCAUAAAAAUUUAGGUCUAAACUUGACCAAAUUAAACUAGGGCAAUAAAAUAAAUCCAAAAUUUUUGCCCAAGUCCAACGAUUCAAUCCAUCCCUCAGGGGUAAUUCCGUCAAUUCACCUCAUCGAGAUACAAUAAGUUCGGGGAUGGGCUGUGACAGUAGCCCAAGGAGGUUUUCUAUAAGAGUAGUGCUAUUCAUGCACUCAUUUUUACUUCUCACACACUACUCUCAAUUUUUGGUUAUCAGAUAGAAUAAAUUGAAGAUAAUCAACAACAAA